UGAGCCCUACCCAACUGUGGCCUGUUAGCAAUGGCAGCAUAAGCUGGGAUGUGAUGGUGAACCCUGUGGCAGACAGAAAGGUGGUUUUCAUUAAUUACUUCACUCUUCAAGUCCUUUACUGCAGACAUCUCUAUCCACAAACCAGGCUGCCAGGGAUGGAGAGAAGAAGAAAUGGAGGAGGGGAUGAGCCCCAGCAGGGAGGGGAUCCCCAGUGGUUUGCUUGCUGCAGUGGUAGUGGCUCCUGUGGAUUUGCCCCGGGUUACGAAACACGAGUUGCUCCUGACAGACCUUGCUAGUUUCUGCUACGACCUGACUGGGAGGAAGGACAAUAAAAUCUGUUUUGCGAGACGUUGGCGUUCCCUUCCCCUAGACAUGCUGACUCCUGCCUGCCAGAGUGAUUCAGCAGCUUGCCACUCACUUUUACAGGAGGAAAGUUUUCUCCUAGCUUCUUCCACUGGCCUGGUGUGACCGUGGCUGCGAUUGAGGGACAUAUUCGUGUGGCUGGUUGAUUCUUCGCACUGAGUCACUGUGGAGCAGCCGGGCAGCUCUGAGCUCUCUGUCUAGCUGGUGGCUCUGUCCUUUAUGUGGGGAAGGAGAUCCCCGUGGAGAGCAUUGGGGCUCUCUGCUUCACAGCUUUCCCCUUUCCACGCAGGGUCACAUUAAGUAAGGAGAAGUUAUUUAUAAUUGAGGCUGGUUGCUGACUAUCUGUCACAGUCAUCCAGGCCUAUAGAGGAAAGUCUGUAGAGAAAUGCUGCUCGUUCGUUUAACUGCAACAAAUGCCCAUAAAAAAUGCAAGGGAUAGGGAGUGAUUAAC